CGCCGGCGGGACAGGGGGGUGGGGUGGGAGAAGGUUCCUGAUCCCGGGGCCGAGUUGCUGGACAGGGAAGCACCCGCUCGAAGAGCAGUCGUUUUCACCUGAUCUUGGCUCUCUGGGUGAAGAACAACAUUCAGUGAGUGGAAGAAUAUACAUGCACUAAAGAUUAACGAGCUUUUUAUUUCGAUUGACAACUACAAUCUAUCAAUCUGCUGUAUACAGCGUCCAAUACCCUUGUGUCAUGCUAGCAUAGCUCCAGGCACUCAUCUUGCCCGAGCCUUUGCAGAGGCUGCCGAGAUCAGCCCUUCCUUCGCUGGCAGCAGCAGGGUCUAAGUGAGUCUGGAGGUUAUCAGCUCGCUAAUGGCACGUAAUGGUAAUUAGUGAUGGAUUUUCUUCCCCUUCUGUUAGAGAUCUGUGUGAAUGAAGUACACAAGUACUUUAGUGUGUAUAAAGUACAGGAAAGGGAUAUUAUUAUUGUAUGAGAGCAAUCAAAAAGUUAGACCAAACCAGAGCUGAUGCUGCUUAUUUGCUCUUUAUUCAGUCCUUUCAUACCAAUGCAUUAGCAGACAAACAUUAUGUUGCAAACCCAUAUAUUCUUCCCCCCCGGCUCUCCACCCCCAAGGUUUCCUGUCUCAUUCAAUAUGUUAGAGUCACUAUCUGACUUGCGAAUAUUCUGGGCUUAUUUUCUGUGAAGGAGAGCUGCCUGAAGGACACUUGUUUUAUGUGUUUCAGGUGAUGAAAGAUGUGAAGGUACCAAGUGAAGGUUACAGAAAGUGACAAGAUCAGGCAGAAUAAUGCUGCUUUGGAAAACUGGACUUUAGUCAUGCCAGUGAUAUAGUCAUUACAUUACAUUAAUGAAGUUUUUUUCAACCUAACGUGGUGUAUAGAUGCGCUGAGCCUUUGUUGCAAAUACAGUAAUGGUCAUGCUUUGUCUGUUCUGUAAGUCUCUCCACACUGAGAAGUUAAGUUCUCUGAAAUCUCUCACACUUUAAUCACCCAAAAUAAGAUUUUUGAAAUCUCAGUACCUCAAGGCUGUAUCUCUAAAAGAGAGGUGAUGACAUGCUCCUUAGUUCUGAGUGGUUCAUGAAAAUAAAUUUAAUAAUGUCUGCAAAAAUA